UGUGAUUUUUUUUCUUUCAUUCUGUUAAUGUGGUGUAUUACAUUGAUCAGUUUCAUAUGUUGAACCAUCUCUGUGUUCUAGGAACAAAUCCCACAUGGUCACGGUAUGUAUAAUCCUUUUAAUGUGCUGCUGAAUUCAGUUUCCUAGUAUUUUGUUGAGAACUUUUGCAUCAGUGUUAAUGAGGGACACGGGUU